GACGAACCGUGCGAACGUUGUUCGGAAUCACUGGGCUUAAAGGGCGCGUAGGCGGGCGGGCAAGUCAGGGGUGAAAUCCCACGGCUCAACCGUGGAAGUGCCUUUGAUACUGCUUGUCUUGAGGGAGGUAGGGGCGUGCGGAACUUCCGGUGGAGCGGUGAAAUGCGUAGAUAUCGGAAGGAACACCGGUGGCGAAAGCGGCGCGCUGGACCUCUACUGACGCUGAGGCGCGAAAGCCAGGGGAGCAAACGGG
rnacentral:rRNA from 1 species